UACGGGGGGGGCAAGCGUUGUUCGGAAUUACUGGGCGUAAAGGGCUCGUAGGCGGCCAACUAAGUCAUACGUGAAAUCCCUCGGCUUAACCGGGGAACUGCGUCUGAUACUGGAUGGCUUGAGUUCGGGAGAGGGAUGCGGAAUUCCAGGUGUAGCGGUGAAAUGCGUAGAUAUCUGGAGGAACACCGGUGGCGAAGGCGGCAUCCUGGACCGAUAAUGACGCUGAUGAGCGAAAGCCAGGGGAGCAAACGGG
rnacentral:rRNA from 1 species